rnacentral:rRNA from 1 species
AUUGAACGCUGGCGGCCGGCUUAACACAUGCAAGUCGAGCGAGCGGCGGACGGGUGAGUAAUGUCUGGGAAACUGCCUGAUGGAGGGGGAUAACUACUGGAAACGGUAGCUAAUACCGCAUACCAUCAGAUGUGCCCAGAUGGGAUUAGCUCGUAGGGGGGGGAAUGGCUCACCUAGGCGACGAUCCCUAGCUGGUCUGAGCGGAAGACAAGACACACUGGAACUGAGACACGGUCCAGACUCCUACGUGAGGGAGCAGUGGGGAAUAUUGCACAAUGGGCGCAAGCCUGAUGCAGCCAUGCCGCGUGUGUUAAGAAGGCCUUCGGGUUGUAAAGCACUUUCAGCGAGGAGGCGUUACUCGCAGAAGAAGCACCGGCUAACUCCGUGCCAGCAGCCGCGGUAAUAC